UAUGCAGGCGGAUACAAAAGUCAAAUGUGAAAUGUACCGGCUUAACCGGUGAGCGGCAUUUGAAACUAAGUAUCUUGAGUCUAGGAGAGGAGAGCGGAAUUCCUGGUGUAGCGGUGGAAUGCGUAGAUAUCAGGAAGAACACCAGUGGCGAAGGCGGCUCUCUGGCCUAAGACUGACGCUGAGGUACGAAAGCUGGGGGAGCGAACG
rnacentral:rRNA from 1 species